rnacentral:rRNA from 1 species
UACGUAGGCAGCAAGCGUUGUUCGGAAUUACUGGGCGUAAAGAGUGUGUAGGCGGUGCUCUAAGUUCGGUGUGAAAUCUCCCGGCUCAACUGGGAGGGUGCGCCGAAAACUGGAGUGCUGGAGCGCGGGAGAGGAAAGCGGAAUUCCUGGUGUAGCGGUGAAAUGCGUAGAUAUCAGGAGGAACCCCGGCGGUGUAGACGGCUUUCUGGACCGUAGCUGACGCUGAGACACGAAAGCGUGGGUAGCAAACAGG